GGAUGGAUCAUUCCUGUUAACAAACAAACCAACCUCCAAGCUAUUUCUGCUAACAACCUUAACACUUAAAAAUUCAAUGAAACUAAAAACUCUUAGCGAUGGAUGACUCGACUCUCGUAACGAGGAAGGACGCAGCAAACCGCGAUAAGCAGUAUGACUUGCGAAUUCUCGUGAAUCACCAGAUUUCUGAACGCUAUUGUACUCCUGGCUUCAGUCUCGAGUAUACUUGGUUCGGUAUCGUAUAGAUUUCUUUUCGUUUGCUGACAAUUCAAGGAUAGUCAAGUAACGGAAAGGUUUAGAGCUUCCAUUGAAAAAUGUCAGCUGUCUAAUUGAUCAACUUUGAUGAAUUGAUUUCACCUACAGUGACGUAAAGUGAAUGUCAAUUUGUUCAAAAGUGAUUGAUUUUAAUUUUUAUGAUUCGAGCUCAAGUAAGGUUACCCGCUGAAUUUAAGCAUAUAAUUAAGCGGAGGAAAAGAAACCAACAGGGAUUCCCUUAGUAGCGGCGAGCGAAAAGGGAUGAGCCCAAGGUGUGAAUCCGAGUUGCUUGCAGCUCGGAGCUGUACAUCAGGUCCUUGGCCACAACGGAUUGCUCGCUAAGACGCCUGGAAAGGCGUGCCACAGAAGGUGAUAGCCCUGUCUUUGCGAUGCCAAUCAGUUGGUAGGUCUUGGUCUAAUGAGUCACGCUCUUUGGGAGUAGAGCGCAAAUAGGGUGGUAACCUCCAUCCACGGCUAAAUAUUGACGAGAGAUCGAUAGCAAACAAGUACCGUGAGGGAAAGUUGAAAAGCACUUCGAAAGGAGAGUUAAAAUACCUGAAAUCGCCAAGGGGGAAGCGACUAUCCGUGACCCAAGUGAAGUCGGCUCUCAAGGUUUCGAUCUUGGAUGGCUGAUCAACAACUCGACAUCACUUCCCAAUUGUUCGAUGCUUCUCUGAAGUUUACUUCUAGGAAGUUGUUCGUUCAGUGUAGGAGUGACGCAAACCGGCUUGCCGUAAGUUGUCGAGAGCGGCACGUAUAGACGACCCGUCUUGAAACACGGACCAAGGAGUUAAACAAGUGUGCAAGUGUAAGAGUGUUAAACUCAUACGCGCAGUGAAAGCAAAAGCUGUGAAUAUCCAUGCAACAGCGGCCGACUCUUGAAGUUCGAGCUUGAGCAUAUUUGUUUAGACCCGAAAGAUGGUGACCUAUACCUGAGUUGAGUGAAGCCAGGGGAAACCCUGGUGGAAGCUCGUAGCGAUACUGACGUGCAAAUCGUUCGUCAAACUUGGGCAUAGGGGCGAAAGACUAAUCGAACCAUCUAGUAGCUGGUUCCCUC
rnacentral:misc_RNA from 1 species